AAACAUGGCUCUUUGAUUGCUCAAUAUAAAGAGUCGAACCUGCCCAGUGACAGAGUUUAACGGCCGCGGUACUCUGACCGUGCAAAGGUAGCAUAAUCAUUUGCCCUAUAAUUGAGGGCUGGUAUGAAUGGUUUGACAAGAGUAAAACUGUCUCCCUGAAAUUCCAUAGAAUUUAGCUUUUAGGUGAAGAGACCUAAAUAAAAUUGAAAGACAAGAAGACCCUAUCGAGCUUUAAAGUAUUUUAUUAAAAAAUGUGUAUUAGUUAAUUAAUUUUAAUUAAAAAUUUUGGUUGGGGCGACUGAGGAACAAAAAGAGCUUCCUUUAAAUUAAUAAACCAGUAAGUAUUGAUCCAGAAAGUUCUGAUAAAAAGAAAUAGUUACCGUAGGGAUAACAGCAUAAUCUUCUUUGAAAGCUCCUAUCGAAAAGAAGGUUUGUGACCUCGAUGUUGGACUAGGGUAUCCCAAAGAUGCAGAAGUCUUUAAGGGUUGGUCUGUUCGACCAUUAAAAUCCUACAUGAUCUGA
rnacentral:rRNA from 1 species